UCGAGGAUCUUCGGCAAUGGGCGCAAGCCUGACCGAGCGACGCCGCGUGUGCGAAGAAGGCCUUCGGGUUGUAAAGCACUGUCGAGGGGGAGGAAAGCCGCAAGGUCUGACCUAUCCCUGGAGGAAGCACGGGCUAAGUUCGUGCCAGCAGCCGCGGUAAGACGAACCGUGCGAACGUUGUUCGGAUUCACUGGGCUUAAAGGGCGCGUAGGCGGGCAAGCAAGUCCGGGGUGAAAUCCUCCGGCUCAACCGGAGAAGUGCCUUGGAUACUGCUUGUCUCGAGGGAGAUAGGGGUUGCUGGAACUUCCGGUGGAGCGGUGAAAUGCGUUGAUAUCGGAAGGAACGCCGGUGGCGAAAGCGAGCAACUGGACCUCUUCUGACGCUGAGGCGCGAAAGCUAGGGGAGCAAACGG
rnacentral:rRNA from 1 species